AGGAAAGGUUAGUGAGAGGCUGUGGGCCCAAUUAGCCCCACCCCGUUGCACCCGUGUGAGGUGUCAAGCCUAGCGGGAGGAGAUAAACGUGGAAAAGCCCAGCUCAGCAAUGGCUGACUAGGAGAGGGAGUAGGCUUCUUAAGCUAGCCCUGUGAAGGAAGGUCUGGCUGGGGCCAGAGCCUAACCCGAGACUGCCGUGAGCUGCAUGGAAGGAAAGCCCAGAAACUUCAAAGCGUCAGAACCUCACUGGGGCAGAUCAGCAAUGAACCAGCAAGGGUGACUAAUACACACAUCAGCUCUGGAAAGUUAUCAACAUACCGGACAGGGUGCCAGCACAGAGGAAUGAGCUAUUCUUUUGUCCCUAGGAGAAAAUUCACAUGCAUCUCCUAAUUGAAGGAUCAAGGCACUGGCUGUGUAAAUCUUCACAUAAGAGAAACUCUUGGCCUUCCAGAUGGUGCUAUCUGAGGGCCUAAGAAGUUUUACAGACAUCACAACACUCUCUGACAAGGCAAAUCAGUUGGACCCAGAGUCCCAGGACCCCAUGGAAAUGGAGGGGCCCAGCCUGAGUCAAGACAGGAACCUGUGUUCAAGCCCUGUUGCUUUGCAGCACAGACCCAGCCCAACUGGACUCUUGCUCUGGGAGUUUGCCAAAAGUAUCCCACAAUCCAAUGGGCUGACUUUCUUUGUCCUCGGGACAGUCAAAUUUGGUGAACAGUCAGAUUUUCCCAAACAGCACCAUGAACAAAGGGCUAAAGCAGUCACCGUUUGGGAGGGCACCAGGAAGUUUGGGAUAUGGUGGCUGGACUCGGGCCCAUGUAAUACAGCGUAGGCAGUGGAGCCCCAGGUUGGGACCCAGGAUUCAACAAAUUCCGAACCUUGGAUUACAAAUGCAUGGAGACACUCAAGCCCUAGGUUAACAAACCCAGGGUCUGCUAACUCGAGUUCUAUCAAGGCUGGGUUUACACUGCAGUGUAGAUGUA